rnacentral:rRNA from 1 species
UACAUGUGGGGCAAGCGUUGUUCGGAAUCACUGGGCAUAAAGGGUGCGUAGGCGGUGGUGCACGUCCUGGGUGAAAUCCUUCGGCCCAACCGGAGGUCUGCCUGGGAUACGGCAUUACUUGAGUGCGUGAGGGGUGACUGGAACGCGUGGUGUAGCGGUGAAAUGCGUAGAUAUCACGCGGAAGGCCAACGGCGAAGGCAAGUCACUGGUACGCAACUGACGCUGAGUGCACGAAAGCGUGGGGAGCAAACAGG